rnacentral:rRNA from 1 species
GAUGAACGCUAGCGGCAGGCUUAAUACAUGCAAGUCGAGGGGCAGCAGGGGUAGCAAUACUCGCUGGCGACCGGCAAACGGGUGCGGAACACGUACGCAACCUUCCCAAAACUGGUGAAUAGCCCUCCGAAAGGAGGAUUAAUACACCGUAAGAUAAUGAAGUGGCAUCACUUUAUUAUUAUAGCUCCGGCGGUUUUGGAUGGGCGUGCGCCUGAUUAGGUAGUUGGCGGGGUAACGGCCCGACCAAGACCUGCGAUCAGUAACUGGUGUGAGAGCACGACCAGUCACACGGGC